rnacentral:rRNA from 1 species
GGGCCCGCACAAGCGGUGGAGUAUGUGGUUUAAUUCGAUGCAACGCGAAGAACCUUACCUACACUUGACAUGCUGAGAAGUUACUAGAGAUAGUUUCGUGCCUUCGGGAACUCAGACACAGGUGCUGCAUGGCUGUCGUCAGCUCGUGUCGUGAGAUGUUGGGUUAAGUCCCGCAACGAGCGCAACCCUUGUCCUUAGUUGCCAGCCUUAAGUUGGGCACUCUAAGGAGACUGCCGGUGACAAACCGGAGGAAGGUGGGACGACGUCAAGUCAUCAUGGCCCUUACGUGUAGGGCUACACACGUGCUACAAUGGUACUUACAAUGGGAUGCAAAGAGGCGACUCUUAGCUAAUCCCUAAAAUGUACCUCAGUUCGGAUUGUACUCUGUAACUCGAGUGCAUGAAGCUGGAAUUGCUAGUAAUCG